rnacentral:rRNA from 1 species
AUUGAACGCUGGCGGCAUGCCUUACACAUGCAAGUCGAACGGCAGCACGGGUGCUUGCACCUGGUGGCGAGUGGCGAACGGGUGAGUAAUACAUCGGAACGUACCUUAUCGUGGGGGAUAACGCAGCGAAAGCUGUGCUAAUACCGCAUACGCCCUGAGGGGGAAAGCGGGGGAUCGCAAGACCUCGCGCGAUUAGAGCGGCCGAUGCCUGAUUAGCUUGUUGGUGGGGUAAAAGCCCACCAAGGCGACGAUCAGUAGCUGGUCUGAGAGGACGAUCAGCCACACUGGGACUGAGACACGGCCCAGACUCCUACGGGAGGCAGCAGUGGGGAAUUUUGGACAAUGGGGGCAACCCUGAUCCAGCAAUGCCGCGUGAGUGAAGAAGGCCUUUGGGUUGCAAAGCUCUUUUGUCAGGGAAGAAACACCGGCUCUAACACAGUCCGGGAAUGACGGUACCUGAAGAAUAAGCACCGGCUAACUACGUGCCAGCCGCCGCGGUAA